rnacentral:rRNA from 1 species
AUUGAACGCUGGCGGCAUGCCUUACACAUGCAAGUCGAACGGUAACAGGUCUUCGGAUGCUGACGAGUGGCGAACGGGUGAGUAAUACAUCGGAACGUGCCCGAUCGUGGGGGAUAACGGAGCGAAAGCUUUGCUAAUACCGCAUACGAUCUACGGAUGAAAGCAGGGGACCGCAAGGCCUUGCGCGGACGGAGCGGCCGAUGGCAGAUUAGGUAGUUGGUGGGAUAAAAGCUUACCAAGCCGACGAUCUGUAGCUGGUCUGAGAGGACGACCAGCCACACUGGGACUGAGACACGGCCCAGACUCCUACGGGAGGCAGCAGUGGGGAAUUUUGGACAAUGGGCGAAAGCCUGAUCCAGCCAUGCCGCGUGCAGGAAGAAGGCCUUCGGGUUGUAAACUGCUUUAGUCUAGGAAAAAGGGGUGCGAGGUUAAUACCCUCGUGCUUUGAUGGUACUGGAAGAAUAAGCACCGGCUAACUACGUG